CACCCAAGUAAAAACUUUCAGAUUUGCCAUUAUGUGAAUAUUUUUUAACAUUCUUUUCUCUGCUAAUGGAUACUAAAAGCAGAGAGGCUUAAUGGAGAUUUUUGUUCAAGAAGUUAUUUUACCGGAGGUUAAGUUCUUUGAGAAAGUUGUUGUAUAUGUUGGAGUUUUUAUUUUAUUUUAACAGAUUCUUAUAGAGCAAUUUGAGUCAUGUCUGAAAUGUACUUGAAAGUUGCUGCUGGUGUUCUGCAGUUUUGCACACUGCUUUCUGGAAUUACACUGAUGAUAUUCUCUGGAAUGAAGGAACACAGGACUUUAGGAGAAUGCAGAAACCUUAAAACACUUUCCUAUACCUAAAAUGUUGCAUUUCUGUGCUGAAGUACUGUGAACUUUUUUUGAACCUCAGCUAUUAGCCAAGAAGAACAACAGCAGUGGAAGCCCUAGCCAAGGCCGAAUCCAUCAGAGACAGUAGUAGGAAAAAAACCCGAUCUACUGUUGGAAUAAUAACAGAGGAGAAGAAUGAGAAUAUAUAUCAGAAGCAGCUCUGCGGACACCAAGGUUAGUGAAGAAGGAGGUGGAGGAAGUGCUUCAGGCACUGAAGCUGUGGUGAAGACCAAGACUGUCCCCCUGCAGCCAUGGAGGUUGCAUGGUGUAGCAUAGAUCCACCUGAAGCCCAUGGAGGACUCCAAACCAGAGCAGCUGGAUGCCUAAAUUUGGUUGUGAGCUUGUGGGAAGCCCAUGCUGAAGCAGGUUUUCUGGUAGGACUUUAACCCUGCAGGGGACCCGCUGUGGAGCAGCCUGUUGCUGAAGGAGUGCACCCCAUGGAAGGGACCCAUUCUGCAGUCCAUGGGAAGGACUCACAUUUGGGUGAGGAUCUACACAAUGGAGCAGGGGAAGAGUGUGAGGAGUCCUUUCCUUGAGAAUGAAGGAGUGGUAAGAGAGCAUAUGCUGAAUUGACCACAGCCCCCACUACCUGUCCUACUGUGCCACUGGGAGAAAACCAGGUAGAAAAAUCAGCAAUCAAGUUAACCAUGGGAAGAAAGAGGAAUGAUGAAGAGGGAAGCAAGUUACAUCAAGAUACACAUCUUCCCUCUCUAUUUCAUCUGCUAAGCAGGAAAAUAUCAACUGUAUAACUCUAAGAAGAAGAGUCUUCAGAAUAAAAAUCCCUUUAUGAGGGUGAAAGACUGGCACACACGAUGCUGUCUCACUUUCACAUGAAUAUGUGGAAAAAUUUUGUAAACAAAAGACUAUGUCAAUAGUAAAUUAACUUAGCUGUCACUGUUUGAUCAAGCAUCCUUUUUUUUUUUUUAAUGGCUGGUUAUAGCAUUUUUUUUCUCUGAAAGUUAAACAAUAAUAGAAGUUGAAUUCCAUACACAGAAGUUUUUUUCUAAAUUAGAAAAGAAAACCUCUGUAAUAACAUAUCCAUAUUAAUUUGUUUAUAUCAGCUGAAAGACUUAGCAUAGAAUAAGAUUUUUUUUUUAUUAUGAUGAUUUUUAUUGAAUUUUUUUAAUGCUGAUGUCUAUUCUUCCAAGUUCAAACCAUUUUUCAAAUGCAAUAAACUUUCAGAAACCCCAAACAAACUACAAUAAACUCCACCUGCACAACUGGCUUGCAUAUUCAGGGAUGAUCAGAUGAACAUUUGGCUUUUUGUCUUAAAUUUCUUUUGGGAGGUACUUGGAGUCCAUAUUGCAUUGUACCAAUCAUUUGCCAGUGAGCAUGACCUCUGGUUUCCCAGAUGAGAACUCCUUCCCCAUCCUGUCUCUUUGUCAACAUUUGAUCUAAGAUCUCCAAAAGAUCAUGCCAACUGAGUAGUAGAGUGGUCUGGAGAGAAAAGAAACUGUUGAACUACAGUUUGCUUAAGCAAGUAAGGCAUGUAUGUUUAGUUUCUUGCUCUGCUGAAGAUUUUAUUUGUGAAAUUGGGAAUAGGUGUCCUGUCUGUCUUCCUUUUCAUAGCAAAAAAAAAACCCCAAAAAAACUAUGCCCCUUGGGUACUCUGUAAAUUAAUAUUUAUGAAGAGCCUAAAGGAUUAUGCUGAGAAAGGGAUGUAUGUGAAGUAGUUCUAGCAAAUGUCUGCACCAGGUUCAUGUCAGAUUGUUGCUGGGUUUUAUUUCUCUUGGAAGGGAAUUCAGUGUUUAAACCAGAAAGAAUACACUGGAGAGUGUGUGAGUUAUAAAAAAGCUUCAAAAGUUCCUCUAUAGCUGUUCUGACUCCAAGUGCUUGUAAAUGCUCUCAUUUCAGAAAAAUUGAAUAUUUAAGCCAGGCAAAUUUGUCUUCAGAAAUUUGGUACUUCUCUGUUUGUCUUUCCUGGGGGGCUUUGGCUGAUGCUUUCCAUGUAUUCUUGCUGGAUAAGGGACACUGCAAAAGCCAGGGUAUGUCUCCUAUAACUUAAUGGAUAGAAAAGGUGAGAUACUUCUUAACUCUCUUUUCACAAGCUGAAAGUGUCAAAGUUUUGACUUGUAUUUCAAAAACUUCACUUUAUUUCAUACAAUUACUGUUUUUUGACAUGAACUGCAUGCAAAAUAUAUCAGAUACUGGGCUCUUUGCGGGCAUGCAAACAGCAACUUGCAGGCUCUUUUUGCAUGGCAGGAAAAAAAACUAUAAUGGACACAAGUAAUACAAGAGAUUUUGCUUGUCUAUAAAGACAUUUUCACCCUAAGUACAGUCAAAGAGUGGGAUAGACUGUUCAGACUCCA